AGCAGCCGCGGUAAUUCCAGCUCCAAUAGCGUAUAUUAAAGUUGUUGCAGUUAAAAAGCUCGUAGUUGAAUUUCGGGAUCAAUAUGUCGGUCGUGCCAUUGGUACGCACUGGCAUUAUUGGUUUCUACCUUCUGAAGGACCUCGAUGUCAUUAAUUUGGUGUCUUGGGAAAUCAGGACUGUUACUUUGAAAAAAUUAGAGUGUUUAAAGCAAGCUAACGCUUGAAUACAUUAGCAUGGAAUAAUGAAAUAGGACGUUCGAUCCUAUUUUGUUGAUUUCUAGGAUUGACGUAAUGAUUAAUAGGGAUAGUUGGGGGCAUUAGUAUUCAAUUGUCAGAGGUGAAAUUCUUGGAUUUAUUGAAGACUAACUACUGCGAAAGCAUUUGCCAAGGAUGUUUUCAUUAAUCAAGAACGAAAGUUAGGGGAUCGAAGACGAUCAGAUACCGUCGUAGUCUUAACCAUAAACUAUGCCGACUAGGGAUCGGAUGAUGUUAAUUUUUUAAUGA
rnacentral:rRNA from 1 species